AUGUGCAAAAAUCGGUUAUUGUCAGUGUCAUUUUUAGUGCAGGAGGUUUUUGUACAGCCGUUGAUUGGUUUUGUAUCACUGUGGUACACAUUCGGUGGAGGCACUCGACUCUCAGUUGGAACUGCGACUCGUCCCACUCUCACGGUGCUGCCGCCCUCCAGAGACGAGCUGCAGCAGGGUAAGGCUACAGUGCUGUGUGUGGCCAGUAAGGGAUUCCCCUCUGACUGGAAGCUGAGCUGGAAGGUGAACGGCUGCGGCAGGAGCUCUGGUGUCAAUCUGAGUCCCAGUCAGCUGCAGAAUGAUGGACUGUACAGCUGGAGCAGCAGCCUGAGCCUCACUGAGAGUGAGUGGAGAACAGCAACAACCAUCAGCUGUGAUGCCACACACCCGUCCCACAAUGCAGUGACCAAAAGCCUCAACACACAGCAGUGCAAUGAUGACCAGUGAAAUACAUACAUUGGCACACUGACCUAAAUCAGCCGCAGCUCAACAACCAAUCUUUUUAGGCUGUUAGUGUAUUGCUCAUAUAUUCUUUUCUGUUGUAACUGUACAACUGCAAUGCUAUAAACGUUUUGUUUAUUGUUUUAUUCUUGCUUGCCAAAUAAAAGCAUUUUAU